GACUACACAGUGAGUUCAAGGCCAGCCUGAACUACAUGGUAAACUGGCAGCUCAUUUUCUAUAUAUGCGGACCUGCAGCAUGCAAAUUAUAGUUGCCACAUGCUAUCAUUCAGACAGAGAAGAAACUAUGGAGUCUGCAGAGCGAUAAAUGAAGAAAGCCUACAGAGACAAAGAUACCAGGAAAAUGAGGUCAGCUUCAAAGCCAGCUCACUCACGGUUCCUUUCCUUCUCAAGUGGACAGACAAGCC